rnacentral:rRNA from 1 species
UGGAGCCGCCGUCGGUGCAGAUCUUGGUGGUAGUAGCAAAUACUCCAGCGAGGCCCUGGAGGACUGACGUGGAGAAGGGUUUCGUGUGAACAGCCGUUGCACACGAGUCAGUCGAUCCUAAGCCCUAAGAGAAAUCUUACGUAAAUGGGGCGAAAGGGAAUCCGGUUCUUAUUCCGGAACCCGGCCGCGGAACCGCUCCAAAACGGGCCCUCAUGAGAGUUCGUCGGGGUAACCCAAAGUGACCUGGAGACGCCGUCGGGAGUUCCGGGAAGAGUUUUCUUUUCUGUAUAAGCGUUCGAGUUCCCUGGAAACCUCUAGCAGGGAGAUAGGGUUUGGAACGCGAAGAGCACCGCAGUUGCGGCGGUGUCCGGAUCUUCCCCUCGGACCUUGAAAAUCCAGGAGAGGGCCACGUGGAGGUGUCGCGCCGGUUCGUACCCAUAUCCGCAGCAGGUCUCCAAGG